AUACCUGAAUAUUAAUAGUUAUUUUCUUGAAACUCUAAGAAUUUGGCGGUAAUAUAUUUUUUUAGAGGAACCUGUUUUUUAAUCGAUGAACCACGAUACUUUCUACCUCUUAUAUUUAUUUGUAUACCUCUAUUUAGAAUGUUUUUUUAGGAUAAUUUUCUUUUUCUUUAUAAGUUUAAUUUUAGGUCAAGGUGCAGUUUUUUUUAGGUAAACAUGGGUUAUUUUUUUAAUAAACAACUAGUUAAGUUGUUUUGAAUUUGGAUUUAACAGUAAAUUUAAUUAAUUAAUUAUUUUGAAUAUUUUUUUAUAUUAUGUACAUAUCGCCCGUCACUCU
rnacentral:rRNA from 1 species